rnacentral:lncRNA from 10 species
UACAAUGCCAAGGUCACACAGCAAGCCUCCCUGUGUGUCAGGGCAUCCUUAGGACCUCAGAAAAUGUUUGCCUGAAGGCAUGAUGAAAGGUUGACUGGGCUCUGCUGGGCAGCUCUUGCAUCGGGUGUCUAGAGAUGCAGCCAUCUGAAGACAUGACUAGGCUGGACGUCCAAGAAGGAUUACUUAUAUGGAUGGCACUUGAUGCGGGUUGUCAUCUGGGAGCUCAGUUGAGGCUGUUGACCUGACAGCCAACAUGUGGUCUCUCCAUGUGGUGUGAGCAUCUCACUGUAUGGUGAACAGAUUUUCAAAGAAAAUACCCCCAAAGAGAGCAUUCCAAGAGGUUCAGGAAGAAGUUUCAAGACUUCUUAUAACCUAGUAAUGGAAGUUCUAGGACAUCACUUCUACCAUAUUCUCUUGGUCAAGCAAGGCCAGGCUAGGUUCAAAGGGAGGGGAAAUAGAUUUUACUACCUAAUGAGAUAAGGGCAAGAUCACAGUGGAGAAGAGGUUGUAGGAUAGGAGGUAUUGGAGCAGCAAUUUUUGGAAACUACAGUCUGCCACAAAAAAGGCAAAAAGGUGGAUGAGAUUGAUCCCUUGGAAAAGCAGGGAGGAAAACCUUGUCAUUUCUGGUUCAGUUUUAUUCUGUCUGCCCCCAUCAUCUGUAGCUCUGUGUCAGUAGUGGAUGUGGCUUUAGUGUGGUGAUCCACAUCUUUAUUCACUGAGUACCCACUUAAAAACACUUCAGCCUCCACUCCAGGUGCAUGUUCCCAACCGCUUGACCAGACAUGGUCCCUCCUCACUUGGUUGCCAUUUGGGGCUUCUCCUCACUUGUCUUCUCCUCUGAUUUUUAAUGUUACUUCCAUAGAGCUCAGGAAUCAUCAAGACAUUCUUCCCCCUUCUCUGAGAAUUGGAGAGAGCUGGGGAUAAGAUCAGAGAUGCCCCCCAUUUUUACCUAAGCACAUUAUACCAUUGCCCAGAAUCCACAAGCCUCCUAAACUAAGAAAAAGUCAGAUGGGAACAGGCACCAUGAACUACAAGUGCAAAUGCCUAGAUCUUAAACGUCUUCUUUGUUGUUGGGGGAAGUCAGGGACCCCAAAUGGAGGGACCAGCUGAGGCCGUGGCAGAAGAAUGUGGAUUGUGAAGAUUUCAUGGACAUUUAUUACUUCCCCAAAUUAAUACUUUUAUAAUUUCUUAUGCCUGUCUUUACUGCAGUCUCUAAACAUAAAUUGUAAAGAUUUCAUGGACACUUAUCACUUCCCCAAUUAACACCCUUGUGAUUUCCUAUGCCUGUCUUUAAUCUCUUAAUCCUGUCAGCUGAGGAGGAUGUAUAUCGCCUCAGGACCCUGUAAUAAUUGCAUUAACUGCACAAAUUGUACAGCGUGUGUGUUUGAGCAAUAUGAAAUUUGGGCACCUUGAAAAAAGAACAGGAUAACAGCAAUGUUUAGGAAACAAGAGAGAUAACCUUAAACUCUGACCGGUGGUGAGCUGGGCGGAACAGAGCCAUAUUUCUCUUCUUUCAAAAGCAAAUGGGAGAAAUAUCACUGAAUUCUUUUUCUCAGCAUGGAAGAUCCCUGGGAAAGAGAACAUGCACCUGGAGGUAUAGGCUUAUAAAAAGCCCCCCCCCCCCCAAGUGCACCUGUCUCUUAUGGUCAAGACUGCAGGGGUGAAAUAGACCCCAGUCUCCCAUAGCACUCCUAGGCUUAUUAGGAAGAGGAAAUUCCCCCCUAAUAAAUUUUGGUCAGACCGGUUGAUCUCAAAAACCCUGUCUCCUGAUAAGAUGUUAUCAAUGACAAUGGUGCCUGAAACUUCAUUAGCAAUUUUAAUUUUGCCCCGGUUCUGUGGUCCUGUGAUCUUGCCCUGCCUCCACUUGCCUUGUGAUAUUACCUUGUAAAGUACUUGAUGUCUGUGACCCACACCUAUUCGCACACUCCCUCCCCUUUUGAAACUCCCUAAUAAAAACUUGCUGGUUUUUGCAGCUUGUGGGGCAUCAUGGAACCUACCGACAUGUGAUGUCUCCCCCGGACGCCCAGCUUUAAAAUUUCUCUCUUUUGUACUCUGUCCCUUUAUUUCUCAAGCUGGCCGACACUUAAGGAAAAUAGAAAAGAACCUACGUGAAUAUCGGGGCAGAUUCCCCGAUACUUUAUGACAUUUAUUACUUUUCUAUGGUAUGUAAAAAAUUGCCACAACACAUAUAUAUAUACCGUGGAAUACUAUGCAGCCAUAAAAAGAAUGAGAUCAUUUUUUUGCAAGGACAUGGAUGGAGCUAUAGGCCAUUAUCCUUAGCAAACUAACACAGGAACAGAAAACCAAAUACCUCAUGUUCUCACUUAUAAUUGGGAGUUAAAUGAUGAGAACACAUGGACACAUCAAUGGGAAAAACACACACUGGGGCCUUUUCGAGGGUGGAAGGUGAGAGGAGGGAGAGUAUCAGGAAACAACUAAUGGGUACUAGGCUUAACACCUGGGUGAUAAAAUCAUCUAUACGAUAAACCCCCAUGACACACAUUUACCUAUGUAACAAACCUGCACUUGUACCCCUAAACUUAAAAUAAAAGUGUAAAAAAUUGCCAAACGUAGCAGCUUAAAACAAUACCUACUUAUAAGCUCACAAUUCUGUAGGUCUCCUGUCCAGGAAGCAUUCACUGGGUUCUUUCCUCAGGCUAUCACCAGACUGAAUUUAACAUGUUGAUCAGAAUGAACUCUCA